AACAACUAAUCGAUUUAAUCGAUUAUAAUCGAUUAUUAAAAUAGUUAACAACUUUUUUAGUCAUCGAUUAGUUGUUUAAUAAUCAUAUUUUACCGCAUAAAGUCUAUUUUUUACCACAAUCUGACAUCGGUUACAAUCUGUUAAAUUUGCCGCCAGUGUGUGGCACUAAUGAGCCACUGAUCUACCAGUGGGGCCGUAGAAGAAGAAAUUAGCCAAUAAGUGCCCUCGGUUUUCAUGACGUAACACGUUACUGACGCGCAUCUUGCUGUGAGAGAUGGCGGAUCAACAACAAAUACGGAAGAAAAAUAGAUGCGACAAAACAAGAGAAACCCCGGACAAAAACCUCACGAGUAUGGGAGCACUUCACUAGAUGCCUUGAAAAGACGGGUGACCUACAAAAUAUGCAAAAACCAUGGCACGACGGAAGCACGACGUCCCUAAGUGAACAUUUGAGACGAAAACGUGGGGGCUGAUGCAGCAGAGGAAUGUCCGAAAAAAACAAGCAACGAUGGACAACUACAUGGGGAACAAGACACUCACCCCCAGCAAUGCAUACCACUUACAAACUCUAUUCCAGAUUCUACAUUAUUUUUUAUGGAAUUUACCUCUUAUAUUUUGAUGCCAAAAAAUUAUUCUGGACUGAUAUUUUGCACUGUUUAGCUCAUUUUACACUGCUGACUGUGGUCAUGUGCAAUAAAAUAGAUUGCAGUCAACUGCACAAUUC